CCUACGGGAGGCAGCAGUAGGGAAUAUUGCUCAAUGGGGGAAACCCUGAAGCAGCAACGCCGCGUGGAGGAUGAAGGUUUUCGGAUUGUAAACUCCUUUUGUUAGAGAAGAUAAUGACGGUAUCUAACGAAUAAGCACCGGCUAACUCCGUGCCAGCAGCCGCGGUAAUACGGAGGGUGCAAGCGUUACUCGGAAUCACUGGGCGUAAAGAGCGCGUAGGCGGGAUAGCAAGUCAGAUGUGAAAUCCUAUGGCUUAACCAUAGAACUGCAUUUGAAACUGUUAUUCUAGAGUAUGGGAGAGGUAGGUGGAAUGCUUGGUGUAGGGGUAAAAUGCGUAGAGAUCAAGAGGAAUACUCAUUGCGAAGGCGACCUGCUAGAACAUAACUGACGCUGAGGCGCGAAAGCGUGGGGAGCAAACAGGAUUAGAUACCCCUGUAGUC
rnacentral:rRNA from 1 species